CGCCGUUAGCUCCCGUUCCGUCUCCCUCCGCCCCGUCCCGCGGAUCGCUCCUGGGCGCCGCCAUUGGAGCUCCAGGCGCGCCGCAAUUCGAGUGCCUGCCCUAGGCGCCGCCGGCCUCGGACAAGCUCCAGCAGCGCCGCCCCUCCGUCCGUCUCCGUCUGGGCCUCGCACAGGGCAUGGCGCUUCGUCUCCCCCAGACGCCGCCACCGCCUAGGGUUUCCUCUGCCGCCCUCCACCGCCUCCCUCGGGUCGCCGCCUCCCAAGGGCCGCCGCCGCCAUGGACCACCUCCUCGGGUCGCCGCCGCCCUCCACCGCCUCCCUCGGGUCGCCGCCACCCUCCGUCGCCUGGGUCGGCAGCCCCCUCGCCGCCUCUGUGAUGCUAUUGGUAUUUCCACUGUAAAUGUUGAUGACCAGGUUUAUUUCCACAAAAUUCCUGAUGAAGUUCUGGAGAAUUUGGUAAGUCUGAGAGCUGCAACAGUUGAUCCACUAUUCUGUUCUUCCAUAGUUGCAUACUGAAUUUUACAUGGUAAGAUGAAAGUGGAAGAUGUGCAGCUAUCAAUGGAUGAUCUUCAGAUGAUCUUGAGAUGAAAGUGUUGUCCAGCUAGUGAGGCACAAAUGGGUGUGUAGAAUAUUGUAUUUCUUGGUUGGUACAAUUGACAGUGUAAUGGGGCUACCUCACCGAGAAGCUGAUCAAGGAAUCCCUUUCAGAGCAAUAGCUACAACCCUCCGGACUGAAACUGACUGGUGAUGCAGAAAGCAUAUUGUCUCGCGUUCCCAUGGAAGAAUAACAAGUCGAAGCUUUGAUUGAAGGCUCCAGCAAUUGUUUAGAUUGAAUUGUGUUCAGUCCAUUUGUACAAAAAAAAAUUGAUGAGCUUCAAUUGUGUUAUGUCAUUUGAAAUGAUUUAGCUUGAAUUGUACUCUAUCAUCUGAAAAUAUGUAAUGGGAUUGUGUUAUGUCAUUUGAUAAUGAGAUUGACUCAAGUGCAAAACAGAUUCUUGCUU